CGUUCUUGUAAUUUGGUAGCGCCUAAGCUGGCUCGACAUGCUAGAGAGUCAGUCUCAUCGGGAUCCUAGCUGGUUCGCUUCCGCCUGCUGUAUUUGUGCUUGCGAUCCAGUUAAUUGAAUCUUACCGUUUCAAAUUAAAAAGAAAAAUAGGAGUAGAAGCAAUUGUCGCCACCAUGUAUAUAAGGUUUUCUCUCUCGCACGAGCAAAAUUUGCCAUUCCGUUUUUCCUUUUUACUAGCAAAACUCUUUAGUGCCUUUUCUUUUUCUUUUUCUUUUUGCGGGUAAUCUUUAGUACUAUUUCAAUGAUCCUGCCCUGUCAUUACCCUGCAGGUUGGUUUGCAUGGUGACCUCCAAUGCUGCAAUUUCAUGAAGAUCUGCUCUGCAUCGACUUGCUAUCGAGGAGAUGUGAUUGGUGAAAAUAACAGAACGGUGUCAGCACUUGAGGCACCGUUUUUUCCUGUUAUAACUAGUGUAUGAGCAAGAUGUGUAGAGGCUAGAGAUGCUGUCUGGAAACUGCAUCUGGAAUUUUGACGUUUGACGUCUAAAGAUCAUUGCGUUUUGAAUGGUCGUCAGCUGUCAGGCUUCAACAUCUGACGUUUAUUGCCAUCUCUUAUGCGUACACUCUGCUCAUUGAACGGAUUUAUUGGAUGCUCAUG
rnacentral:lncRNA from 1 species